UAUUUAUUGUCUUGUUUUGAUUUGUUAGUAUUAUUAAUAUAAUUUUUAUUGAAGAAUCAUUUUAGUUAUUGUAAAUUUUUGAUUUAAUUUUUUUAACGAUAGUUUAUUUGUACUGUGAGGGGUUUAUUGUUUAUUGUUUUUUUGGAAGUAGAUUUUGUUUUUCGUACCUUGUGUAUCAGGGUUCAUUGAAUUUUAUUAUUUAUUUUUAUUUCCCGAUUUAUAAGGAGUUAAUGAUUUGUUUUAUUUACUGUUUCAUUAGUAUUAAUAACAUAUUGUUGGUAGUGAAAUGCUAUUCGUCUUUUAUGGUUUCUGGUUUCUUGAGAAAUGAAUUUAAUUCAUGUGUUUUAUUUAAUUUCUGUAUUUGUUUACAUUUAAUGUUUUAUUUUAUACUAAGAUUAAGGGGGAUUAGCUCCUUGUUUUAUUAUUAUAAUUUAUUUAAUUAAUUUAGUUUUGUGGGUUUUAUAUUGAUUUUCAAUUUGAUUAUGUUAAAAUUUUAUUUGUUCUUUUUUUUAUUUUGUUUUAUUUAAUUUAUUUAUUGGGAUGUUUACUUUUGUUUUUAUUGUAUAAUAAUUAUUGUGUAAUUAGUAAAUUUUUCUUUUUGUGUUGUUUAUUUAUUUUAGUGUUAAUUUCUUUUUAGGAAUUCGGCAAAGUUUUAUGCCCGCCUGUUUAACAAAAACAUCUCUUCUUGUUAGUUUUUGAAGUAUGGCCUGCCCACUGACUUAUUUGUUGAAGGGCCGAGGUAUAAUCUGUCUUAAUUGUAUUGUUGAUUGAAUUUAGUUUUUGAGUUAAAAUUCUUAGAUGUUUUUAUGGGACGAGAAGACCCUAUAGAGUUUUACAUUUAUUUCUUCAUUACUUUUAUUUGUUUGUUUUUAUUGUAAAGUGGGUUGAAUGUUUUGUUGGGGUGAUGGGAGGAAUUUUUUUAACUCCUCUUUGUUUUUAUACACUUAUUUGUGUUUUUUUGAUCCAUUUGUUUUGAUUAUAAGAUUAAAUUACCUUAGGGAUAACAGCGUUAUCUUCCCUGAGAGUUCUUAUUGGCGGGAAGGUUUGCGACCUCGAUGUUGGAUUAAGAUUAAUUUUCGGUGCAGAAGCUGAAAUUGAUUAGGUCUGUUCGACCUUUAAAAUCUUACAUGAUCUGAGUUCAGACCGGCGUGAGCCAGGUUGGUUUCUAUCUAUAAAUUUUUUUUAUAUCUUAGUACGAGAGGACCGGAUAU
rnacentral:rRNA from 1 species